rnacentral:rRNA from 1 species
UGCCAGCCGCCGCGUAAAACGGAACCGGACAAAGGUAAUUCGGAAUUAUUGGGCUUAAAGGGUGCGUAGGCGGUGCGGUAAGUGAGGUGUGAAAGCCCACGGCUCAACCGUGGAAUUGCGCUUCAUACUGCCGUGCUAGAGGGAGACAGAGGUAAGCGGAACUGAUGGUGGAGCGGUGAAAUGCGUUGGAUAUUAUCAGGAACACCGGUGGCGAAAGCGGCUUACUGGGUCUCUUCUGACGCUGAGGCACGAAAGCUAGGGUAGCGAACGGGAUUAGAUA